GGAGUCGGCCAGGCAAUCGCCCCAGCGCAAGCCAGGGAGGAAAGUCCGGGCUCCAAAGGGUAGAGUGCCAGGUAACGCCUGGGAGGCGCGAGCCUACGGAAAGUGCAGCAGAAAAUAAACCGCCUGUUUUUCAUUCGUGAGAGGCAGGUAAGGGUGAAAUGGUGCGGUAAGAGCGCACCGCGCGGCCGGUAACGGGCGUGGCAGUGUAAACCCCACUCGGAGCAAGACCAAAUAGGAAUCCGCUAAUCGUGACCCGCGAUGGGAUUCGGGUAGGUCGCUAUA
rnacentral:RNase_P_RNA from 1 species